rnacentral:rRNA from 1 species
UACGUAGGGUGCAAGCGUUAAUCGGAAUUACUGGGCGUAAAGCGUGCGCAGGCGGUUAUGCAAGACAGAUGUGAAAUCCCCGGCUCAACCUGGGAACUGCAUUUGUGACUGCAUGGCUAGAGUACGGUAGAGGGGGAUGGAAUUCCGCGUGUAGCAGUGAAAUGCGUAGAUAUGCGGAGGAACACCGAUGGCGAAGGCAAUCCCCUGGACCUGUACUGACGCUCAUGCACGAAAGCGUGGGGAGCAAACAGG